CAUUUGUUUAAAAAACAUAAUUUUGUUACAAAAUGUCCUUUUGUUGGCUGUGUUCUCUGGAGACCCCAAACAGCACGAGUGUCCUCCCCAAACGAACAGCACAUAAGAGUUAAACAAAACACUUUAUACUCAAUAUCUCAUGAUGAAUGUGUUCACAUUAUAUUUGUGAAAGAUUCUUAAUCUUAAUGAUUUGUUUGUAAGAUGAUCUCUCUUCCUCUGUUUGUCUCUUUCUAGAAUAAUUAACUGUGGCAUUACAGAUGUUUCUUCUUUAACUCAGUCUUUGACAAACACAAAAGCUCUGCAGUUUCUAAAAGAGCUUGAUCUGAGAUGGAAUAUGAUUAGAGACUCAAGGCAGAAGCUCAUUGAUGUGCUACGAGACUCAAACUGUGAACUGAGUGUAGAUAGAUAGAUA